rnacentral:rRNA from 1 species
CCUACGGGUGGCAGCAGUGAGGAAUAUUGGUCAAUGGGCGGAAGCCUGAACCAGCCAAGUCGCGUGAGGGAUUAAGGCCCUGCGGGUCGUAAACCUCUUUUGCCGGGGAGCAGAGGUCCGGACGUGUCCGGGCCGGGAGAGUACCCGGAGAAAAAGCAUCGGCUAACUCGGUGCCAGCGGCCGCGGUAAUACGGAGGAUGCGAGCGUUAUCCGGAGUUAUUGGGUUUAAGGGCUGCGUAGGCGGGCAUUAAAGCCGGCGGUAAACUGUCGGGGCCCAACCCCGGACUGACAUCGGAACUGGGUGCCUUGAGUGGGCGAGAAGUAUGCGGAAUGCGUGGUGUAGCGGUGAAAUGCAUAGAUAUCACGCAGAACCCCGAUGGCGAAGGCAGCAUACCGGCGCCCUACUGACGCUGAGGCACGAAAGUGCGGGUAUCGAACAGGAUUAGAUACCCGUGUAGUC